rnacentral:rRNA from 1 species
GAUGAACGCUGGCGGCGUGCUUAACACAUGCAAGUCGAACGAUGAAGCCCAGCUUGCUGGGUGGAUUAGUGGCGAACGGGUGAGUAACACGUGAGUAACCUGCCCUUAACUCUGGGAUAAGCCUGGGAAACUGGGUCUAAUACCGGAUAGGAGCGUCCACCGCAUGGUGGGUGUUGGAAAGAUUUAUCGGUUUUGGAUGGACUCGCGGCUUAUCAGCUUGUUGGUGAGGUAAUGGCUCACCAAGGCGACGACGGGUAGCCGGCCUGAGAGGGUGACCGGCCACACUGGGACUGAGACACGGCCCAGACUCCUACGGGAGGCAGCAGUGGGGAAUAUUGCACAAUGGGCGCAAGCCUGAUGCAGCGACGCCGCGUGAGGGAUGACGGCCUUCGGGUUGUAAACCUCUUUCAGUAGGGAAGAAGCGAAAGUGACGGUACCUGCAGAAGAAGCACCGGCUAACUACGUG